UUACCGAAAAAUUUAAUAUUUUUGUAGGGGUUGUUAACCCAUUGAUUUUGAGAAAAAAUUUAAAAAAUGAAAAUUCUAUUUUAAUGCAUAAUUGCAUCCCUCACUAACAUAUGAUGAAGGUCAAAGAGGUUUGACACCUUUGUUGUCUCUGUUUUUCUAGAAAAUAGCGAUUUUAUAGUGGUUAGUCAACCAAUUUAGGGAGUAUUAUGAAGUUUUACUAAAUUAAUUGACAAAAAACUUAAACGACGCACAUGUACCGUGAAAUAGAGUUAAAUAUACAUUAAUAAAAAUGCAGAAUGUGUUUACAAAUUUUAAAACAACACUAAAGAUCAUAUGCUUCAGUAUAUAGAGCAUUUACCGAAAAAUUCAAUAUUUUCGUAGGGGGUUGGUUAACCCAUAGAUUUUGAGAAAAAUUUAAAAAUAUGAAAAUAUUGUUUUUCUGCAUAGUUGCAUCCUUCACUAACAUAUGAUGAAGGUCAAAGAGGUUUGGAACCUUUGUUGUCUCCGUUUUUCUAGAGAAUAGUGAUUUUAUAAUGGUUACUCCACCAAUUUAAGGAGUAUUAUGAAGUUUUACUAAAUUAAUUGACAAAAAAUUAAAACGAUGCCCAUACCAUGAAAAGAGAGUUUAAUAUACAUUAAUACAAAUAUAGAAAGUGUUUAUAAAUACUAAAACAAC